rnacentral:rRNA from 1 species
UGUAGUCAUAUGCUUGUCUCAAGGAUUAAGCCAUGCACGUCUAAGAUCGCUAGGAGAGGGGUUAAACCCUCUUAACAACAAUCUGCGAAAGGCUCAUUAUAACAGUUACAAACUUGGCUACUAGAUAACAAAAGGAUACCAGUGCCAACGGUCAUGAUAAUACUUGGAAACAAAGUACAAUGAAAGUUGUAUGUGCGAUAAUAUCAAGGGAAAAUGUAUUAUUUUUUCUUCCUUCGGGAAGAAGUGGACCACUACGCAGUGGCCUAGAAGAGGUAUUUCUUCCCUAUCAGCUUGUAGGUACAGUAAAGGUGUACCAAGGCGAUUACGGGUACGGGGAAUCAGUGUUCGAUUCCGGAGAGGGAGCCUGAGAAACGGCUACUACAUCUAAGGAUGGCAGCAGGCGCGAAAAUUACCCAAUCCUAACAUUUUUGGGAGGUAGUGACAAGAAAUAACGACCUUACACUAAAUUGUGGAAGGGAAUUUUGCAAUGGUUUUAGUUUAAAUCUCUAGAAGAGUAUCGAUUGGAGGGCAAGUCUGGUAAUCG